GAUGAACGCUAGCUACAGGCUUAACACAUGCAAGUCGCGGGGCAGCAUGGGGGUUGCUUGCAAUCCCCGAUGGCGACCGGCGCACGGGUGAGUAACGCGUAUCCAACCUGCCCUUCACCACGGGAUAACCCGGCGAAAGUCGGACUAAUACCGUAUGUUGUCCAUUGACGGCAUCCGAUUUGGACGAAAGGCUUGGCGGCGAGGGAGGGGGAUGCGUCCGAUUAGCCAGACGGCGGGGUAACGGCCCACCGUGGCUACGAUCGGUAGGGGUUCUGAGAGGAAGGUCCCCCACACUGGAACUGAGACACGGUCCAGACUCCUACGGGAGGCAGCAGUGAGGAAUAUUGGUCAAUGGGCGUAAGCCUGAACCAGCCAAGUAGCGUGCAGGAUGACGGCCCUAUGGGUUGUAAACUGCUUUUAUGCGGGGAUAAAGUGGCCCACGUGUGGGCUUUUGCAGGUACCGCAUGAAUAAGGACCGGCUAAUUCCGUG
rnacentral:rRNA from 1 species